CCUUUUAUCAGUUUUCACUUUGCCAUUAUCUGAAACUAGAUUGCAAGAUCUUCCGGACAGAGCUUUCUGGUGUGUUUGUGCAGUGCUUACUACAACUGGUCCACAUUGCAAGUAAUCAACAUUAAUAACAACUUUAGCCACAUUCACAUUACCUGUUUGUUUGCUUCUUGCAAACACUUGACAGAUUAUGUUUUACUCGCAUCAACCCUUGCAGAAACUGAGUUUUAAGCAGACUUGGGUGAGUAUUUGCAAGGGAAAUAGUAUAUUUUAGAUGGGCUGUGAAACUCCCUAAUAUAGCUGGGCAACAGAAUCCUCAAAAACGCCUCACUUGAUCCCCGGCAAAGUGGGAGUUGAAUGAGCCAAACUAAGAUCUGCCUGACUGCACCCUUUAAAACUAGCACCUUGCAGACACAUGGGUGAGAGCACACAUUAAGACUUGUAAUGGCUGGGUGCAGGAUUGUAAAUAGUAGAUAUGUGUAUGCUAUGAUAAAAAAUCUGAGUCACAGAGAAUAGUCUAGGUCAGCUGACUUUGGCUGGCAAGGCUUGGGCUGUGGGGGUAAAAAUUGCAGUGUUGAUGUGCGGGCUUGGGCUGGAGGGAGCCCAGGCUCUGAGACCCUCCCCCUCGAGGGGUUUCAGAGCCGGGGUUCUAGCCCGAGCACCAACAUUGCAAUUUAGGGUCCUGCAGCCCAAAGCCCAGUCAGCUGGUCCUGGCCAGCCACGGCCGUGCCAGUGGUCUUUUAUUGCAGUGGGGAUGUACCCUUAGAAUCCCUUAAUUUUGUUAGGAAUGGUGCCUCAGGCAAGCCCUAUGUAACUCAGUAAGCAAAAGUUUUUUUCCCUUGAAUUUCAAAACUUUGAUGAAAAAAUCAAAAUGAAUUUUUUUAUGAACGUUUUAAUGAAAGUUUCCUUUUGUUUUCAAUCAACUCUAUCUGCUCCCUCACCCUGAGAGAUUCCAAGCCCCUUUGGAUUCUUUAAGCUGCCCACCUCCUGAUUAUAAAAGUGAUGCUCAUCCAGUCGGAACCGCUCGAACACCAUGCUACAGAGAGUUGGGGUGGAUUCUCCAUCAUUUGAAGUCUUUACUGGAUGUCUUUCUAAGACAUAUGCUGGAGCUCAAACAGAAAUGAUGGGCUUGAGGCAACGGUUAUUAGUGCAUUUCCAUGGGUGAUGAAGGAUCUAUUCCCCCAUCAACAUCUCCCUUCUCAGCUCAAAAGCGUCCCAAACCAGACUGGGAAGUUGUGUGAAAAGAAGUGAGAGAGAGAGACAGAGAGGCUGCUUUUCGUCUAGAGGUGAAAACAGCCUGGUAACCAGCAGGUGCAAAGCCCCAAAGCAGCUGCUUGCUGCUCUCAAGCUGAAGCGUCUUGGUUCCCCACCCUUCAAGCCAAGAGCACUUCAUAUAAUCCUCUCAUGCAAUUCACACUGUAAUUGCAGAGAUCCAGGCUGCUAGGGCUCAUUUUAUUAUUAUUUUUACUGAUAAGAUCUUCUGCAAACAGGGGACCAGUUGGAUUAAUUAUUUUUAUGUAGCUCUGCAGCUUCUGCAGAAGCAAGUUGGUUUGUUAUUUUUCUUUUUUUGGUCCUGCUUUUCUCCCGCUUCCCACCUCAUACCCCCUUGAAGGCCACUCACAAAGUAGCACAUGUGGAAUUUUCAUGCCGGCUCUGUAAGUCCCUUUAUUGCCUGGCCCGCUUCAUUCACUUCUCAAGAUGAAGCCUGGUGGUUAGGUUCUAGCAGUGGAGAUUAGUGUCUUGAGAGCCAGCUUGUUUUCUCAAGGCUCUGCUUGUUACAUUGGUAAUUAUGGGUCUAAGGGAUCCGUUUCUGGUAUUUGACUAAGUGGCGUGGAUUACUGUGCAAUCAUUUCUCACUGGGGGGGGAAAUCUUAUUUUUUUAUUAUAUACCUUGGGACAACUUUUCAGCAGCUUUUAUAUAAGUAAUUGCUCUUCCCUGUUAUCUGUGUAAAGGUAUUUUUUAUCACAUGAUGAAAUGUAUCAAACCAAUAGUUAAAGCAUUAAGGACUGGUAAAUACACAGUGCUGUUCUCUUUUCCAGACUGAAUGCUGAUCCAAUGAAUAUGCUCUGCCUCUUAUACAGGUUCCUUAUUUGCUGUUGCAGCCUAAUAUGCCAAUAAGUUGUUUAUUGAGUGAAAAUGUUAAAUAUUUGGUUCUAAUCCUUUGUUCUUAAGGGUGGGAUUCACAAAGGUAUUUAGAAAUGUAACUUCCAUUGAUUUCCAGGAAAGUUCAGCACCUAAGUACCUUUAUGAAUCCUAUUAUAAGACUUCAUUUGUACUCGGUUUGAUUUUCAGUAAACAAAAAAAAACAAAAACAAAAAUCCAAAACCAAAAAAUCAGUUUGCCUAGAUUAUUAUUAUUUUUUAUUUUAUUUUAUGAAUUAAUAUUUUGCUGCUCAAAGGUGGCAUGUUAAUAUCUGGAAGCUGAAAUCCUCUGUUUAGACACAAUGGCCUUACCCAGUUCCCACUGAAAUCAGUACAAAACUCCCAUCGAACGUCAAUGGGACAGGCUCAAUACACAUUUCCUCCAGAGUGCUCCAGUAACGUACCUCAACUCUGUACUGAAGGGACCAUACUUUUAGGGAGAGAUCAGUUGUUUUGUCCAUUCACUGCAACUGUUUAAAAAAAUUGGAAAAAGCAUUCCAUGAUACAUGUCCAAGUUGAUUUCAUUUCUCAGGGUUCAAAAUUGACCCUUUGUUUUUCAUAAAAAAUGCACAUUUUAAAAUUUAAAUGGUUAUUGAAAUUUUUCAUUUAUUGAAAGCCUGUAAACAAAAUAUAUCAAUAAACUUUUUGAUUUAAAAAACCAUAAAAGUGUUCAGUUUUGACAAUAUUUCUCCCAAAGCUUUGGAUUAGAAAAAAG